GUGGGGAAUCUUCCGCAAUGGACGAAAGUCUGACGGAGCAACGCCGCGUGAGUGAUGAAGGUCUUCGGAUUGUAAAGCUCUGUUAAUCGGGACGAAAGAGCCUAGUGUGAAUAAUGCUAGGAAGUGACGGUACCGGAAUAGAAAGCCACGGCUAACUACGUGCCAGCAGCCGCGGUAAUACGUAGGUGGCAAGCGUUGUCCGGAAUUAUUGGGCGUAAAGCGCGCGAAGGCGGAUCUGCCAGUCUGUCUUAAAAGUUCGGGGCUUAACCCCGUGAUGGGAUGGAAACUACAGAUCUAGAGUAUCGGAGAGGAAAGUGGAAUUCCUAGUGUAGCGGUGAAAUGCGUAGAUAUUAGGAAGAACACCAGUGGCGAAGGCGACUUUCUGGACGAAAACUGACGCUGAGGCGCGAAAGCCAGGGGAGCGAACGGGAUUAGAUACCCUAGUAGUCC
rnacentral:rRNA from 1 species